rnacentral:rRNA from 1 species
CAUCACUACGCUAGAUGCAUAUCAAUAAGCGGAGGAAAAGAAACUAACAAGGAUUCCCUUAGUAACGGCGAGUGAAGCGGGAAGAGCUCAAAUUUGAAAUCUUCAAGGUUUUACCUUGACGAAUUGUAGUUUAAAGAAGUGUUUUCUGUUGGAGUUUUGGUAAAAGUUCUUUGGAAUAGGACAUCAUAGAAGGUGAGAAUCCCGUAUUUGACCAUUAUUUCCAGCUGUGUGAUACACUUUCAACGAGUCGGAUUGUUUGGGAAUGCAGUCCAAAAUGGGUGGUAAAUUUCAUCUAAAGCUAAAUAUUGGCGAGAGACCGAUAGCGAACAAGUACCGUGAGGGAAAGAUGAAAAGAACUUUGAAAAGAGAGUUAAACAGUACGUGAAAUUGUCAAAAGGGAAGCGUUUGACACCAGUGUUGUUUAUUCGAAAAUCAAUUCAAUAAUUGAUUGGAUUUUGAGUAGUAUUGACUUCAUCAGCUUUCUGCACUUUCUUUCUAUAUUAUUUAAUGCACUUUUCAGUUAACAAGUCAACAUCAAUUUCUUUUGUUGUAAAAGAGUAAUAGGAAGGUGGCUUUUCUUUCGGAAAAGUGUUUAUAGCCUUGGUACCUCUGCAAUCGGAGAGAUUGAGGUCUGCAGCGUAGAUCCUUCGGGGUUAGAUACAUUUGUGCUAAGUUAUAGUCUUUCAUAGACAACUUGUUGACUAUGAUUGAUCUUGUAGCUUACUCGCUUAUGCUAUUUUACCUACGCUUAGGAUGUUGAAGAUAUGCGCGACACG